rnacentral:rRNA from 1 species
AGCGAACGCUGGCGGCAGGCUUAACACAUGCAAGUCGAGCGGACCUUUCGGGGUCAGCGGCGGACGGGUGAGUAACGCGUGGGAACGUGCCUUCCGGUUCGGAAUAACCCUGGGAAACUAGGGCUAAUACCGGAUACGCCCUUAUGGGGAAAGGUUUACUGCCGGAAGAUCGGCCCGCGUCUGAUUAGCUAGUUGGUGGGGUAACGGCCUACCAAGGCGACGAUCAGUAGCUGGUCUGAGAGGAUGAUCAGCCACACUGGGACUGAGACACGGCCCAGACUCCUACGGGAGGCAGCAGUGGGGAAUAUUGGACAAUGGGCGCAAGCCUGAUCCAGCCAUGCCGCGUGAGUGAUGAAGGCCUUAGGGUUGUAAAGCUCUUUUAUCCGGGACGAUAAUGACGGCACCGGAGGAAUAAGCCCCGGCUAACUUCGUG